GAUGAACGCUGGCGGCGUGCCUAAUACAUGCAAGUCGAGCGAACAGACGAGGAGCUUGCUCCUUUGACGUUAGCGGCGGACGGGUGAGUAACACGUAGGUAACCUACCUAUAAGACUGGGAUAACUUCGGGAAACCGGAGCUAAUACCGGAUAAUAUUUCGAACCGCAUGGUUCGAUAGUGAAAGAUGGCUUUGCUAUCACUUAUAGAUGGACCUGCGUCGUAUUAGCUAGUUGGUAAGGUAACGGCUUACCAAGGCAACGAUACGUAGCCGCCCUGAGAGGGUGAUCGGCCAAACUGGAACUGAGCAACGGUCCAGACUCCUACGGGAGGAAGCAGUAGGGAAUCUUCCGCAAUGGGCGAAAGCCUGACGGAGCAACGCCGCGUGAGUGAUGAAGGUCUUCGGAUCGUAAAACUCUGUUAUUAGGGAAGAACAAACGUGUAAGUAACUGUGCACGUCUUGACGGUACCUAAUCAGAAAGCCACGGCUAACUACGUG
rnacentral:rRNA from 1 species